AAAGGUUUACUGCUUGAGGAUGGGGUUGCGUUCCAUCAGCUAGUUGGCGGGGUAAAGGCCCACCAAGGCAACGACGGAUCGCCGGCCUGAGAGGGUGGCCGGCCACAGGGGCACUGAGACACGGGUCCCACUCCUACGGGAGGCAGCAGUUAGGAAUCUUCCACAAUGGGCGCAAGCCUGAUGGAGCGACGCCGCGUGAGG
rnacentral:rRNA from 1 species